CUACGGGAGGCAGCAGUGGGGGAUAUUGCACAAUGGGCGGAAGCCUGAUGCAGCGACGCCGCGUGAGGGACGAAGGCCUUCGGGUUGUAAACCUCUUUCAGCAGGGACGAAGCGUGAGUGACGGUACCUGCAGAAGAAGCACCGGCUAACUACGUGCCAGCAGCCGCGGUAAUA
rnacentral:rRNA from 1 species